rnacentral:rRNA from 1 species
AUUGAACGCUGGCGGCAGGCCUAACACAUGCAAGUCGAACGAGCGGCGGACGGGUGAGUAAUGUCUGGGACACUGCCUGAUGGGGGGGGAUAACUACUGAACACUGUCGCUAAUACCACAUACCAUCAGAUGUGCCCAGAUGGGUUUAGCUUGUAGGUGGGGUAAUGGCUCACCUAGGCGACGAUCCCUAGCUGGUCUGAGAGGAUGACCAGCCACACUGGAACUGAGACACGGUCCAGACUCCUACGGGAGGCAGCAGUGGGGAAUAUUGCACAAUGGGCGCAAGCCUGAUGCAGCCAUGCCGCGUGUAUGAAGAAGGCCUUCGGGUUGUAAAGUACUUUCAGCGAGGAGGCGUUACUCGCAGAAGAAGCACCGGCUAACUCCGUGCCAGCAGCCGCGGUAAUUC